rnacentral:rRNA from 1 species
AUGAAGGUUGUGUUGCCUGGUGCCGCCCCGCGUGUUUCCAGAGAGGCAGCAAUGUUUGACGGUCUCGUCUUUGAGGACAUGGCUAAUAUGGAUUAUUGUCAGCUGAUGGUUGAUGAGCUUAGAAGGCCCGUUGUCAGGUACCAAGAUGGUGUUACCAUGGGGAAGGCAAUUACAGGCUGUGCUAUAGGGCCUAUACUAAUGUACCUUGACUGCCAUAUCCGUGGCAAGACUGCGGAGCCUGACAUGCGAGUCCCCCGUAUAUGUUUCAUGGAUCCUGUCAAGCUUUCUGAUCUGGUUGAUGCAGAUUUGAUAAAAAAAGGCAAUGCAGAUCCAAAGACUUGGGUGUUUGGGAAGCUUCCGUAA